rnacentral:tRNA from 1 species
GUGGCCGUAGCUCAGUAGGAAGAGCAUUGGAAUGUGGAUCCAAGGGUCGAGAGUUCAAACCUCUACGGUCACCCCA